UGUCUCCGGAAUUCCGGAAUUAAUGUUCCAUAUUUGACUCUAUUUUUUGUAACAUCACAUCACUUCCUACUUUGUUUUGAAAACAUUGUGACAAUAAUUUCAUGUUCUUUCCUCACUGUCUCGUAACGUGUUUUUACCUUAUACUAGAAUGAUGCACUACGCACCCAUUUGAUGUCUUUUCGGUGCCUUAUAUGAAUAAAGUUGUGCAAUUAAAA